GUGAACGCUGGCGGUAGGCCUAACACAUGCAAGUCGAACGGCAGCACAGUAAGAGCUUGCUCUUACGGGUGGCGAGUGGCGGACGGGUGAGGAAUACAUCGGAAUCUACUUUUUCGUGGGGGAUAACGUAGGGAAACUUACGCUAAUACCGCAUACGACCUACGGGUGAAAGCAGGGGAUCUUCGGACCUUGCGCUAUUGAAUGAGCCGAUGUCGGAUUAGCUAGUUGGCGGGGUAAAGGCCCACCAAGGCGACGAUCCGUAGCUGGUCUGAGAGGAUGAUCAGCCACGCUGGAACUGAGACACGGUCCAGACUCCUACGGGAGGCAGCAGUGGGGAAUAUUGGACAAUGGGCGCAAGCCUGAUCCAGCCAUACCGCGUGGGUGAAGAAGGCCUUCGGGUUGUAAAGCCCUUUUGUUGGGAAAGAAAAGCAGCAGGUUAAUACCCCGCUGUUCUGACGGUACCCAAAGAAUAAGCACCGGCUAACUUCGUG
rnacentral:rRNA from 1 species